CACCGGAUCAACCACCAGUUCUGGAUACGACUGCAUUGCUCGGCUGGCAACAUGGAACCUUAUCUACGACAUGCACAGUACUAAACCACACCCAUUUCGACAGCACUUCGGGCCACGACACCGCAGCUGUGAUGCCACGCUCACUUUUCAUGCUUGUGCAGCCUACAGUUGUGCCUCUGCCUCUUCGAUCAUUUGGUCAAGCCUCUUCGAGCAUCUCAGAGAUGGAGCAGAUGUCUGUCCACAUCCGGUGUCUCCGUUGUUGCACCUUGACUGCUGCCUGACGAAGCUGGGGAUUUGCCUCUCUUCACUGACGCUUGGCUUCUGCUUCACGUUGUUGCACAGACGAAUCGGCCCUCCGACGUCGCUGUCUUUAUUUAUUUGUUUAUUACAUACUGCCAGCCUGGAUGUCAGGCUUUAGGCAGGAGUGGGUUUCAGGACCCAUGAUUCAAGAGAAGGCCAUGGAAUGCGCCGUGCUUUUCGACGUCAGUGGAUUUGACGCAAGCAGUGGAUGGCUGCAUCGCUUUCGGAUGCGCUACGGAAUCAUAUGGAAGCAAGUCUGCGGUGAAGCCAGCAGCGCGGACACCGCUGCUUCAAGCACAUGGCGGGAAGAAAAACUACGCGACGUCGUCAGAGACUAUAGCCCGGACAAUUUAUACAGUGCGGAUGAGACCGGGGUAUUUUACCAACUGCUCCCUAACAAAACCAUGUGCUACAAAGACUACACGUGCAAAGGUGGAAAGCACUCGAUGGUCAGGAUCACAGCAUUGUUUUGCUGUAACGCAUCGGGUACGCAUAAGAUGAAACCUUUAAUCAUCGGUCUCUACACCCACCCAAGGUGCCUUAAAGGGCUUGCAUCGCUCCGAUGUGAUUACACGCAAAACUCAAAGGCUUGGAUGUCGCGUGAUAUGUUCGCAAAGUGUAUCGUGGGCGUGAACAAUGAGACGGUGAGAAAGAAUCGCAAGAUUUUGUUAAUUUUCGACGAUUGCUCACCACACUUAGUGGACACACGUCUCAGUAACAUCAGAGUCGAGUUUCUGCCACCCAACUGCACGUCAAUCCUGCAGCCUCUUGAUCUAGGCAUCAUAAAGAAUGUAAAAUUACACUACAGGAAGCGGCUUGUGCAGCGAAUUCUGGUACAUUUAAGAAUGUAGAAGCCUGACGCGGUUAAUGUGUGGCAGCCAGCAGAAAUGCUCACAGGAGCUUCGUGGAGUGCGAAACCAGCAACGAUAGUGAAUUGCUGGCAAAAAGCAGGUCUGCAUGCAGCAAACUGGACUGCUGUGGACACCAGUCUCGAAGCAGAGGACCAUGGUACUGAUGAAGAGAACAGUGAGCCAGGUGGCUGGCCGGAAUUGUCAAAAAGGCUAGGUGCAGAUAGCCCUUUGUCUUUUGAGGAGUAUGCCGCCUGUGACACCAUGUUGGAGACGUGCGCUGCGCUCACUACCGAAGAUAUUGUAGCAAGUGCAUUAGCUGAAGAAGGCGAAGACAAGGAAGAUUCUACCAGUGAUGACGAAGGGCCAAAUAUAUCUGCCAAAGAGGCACUAAUCGCCCUGGAAAAAGUUAAAGCCUUUGCUGCCCAGCAACUCGCUGUGCCAGAAAAGGUUCUCGAGUGCUUAGACACAGUGACUCAGUUCACAGCUGCUGCAGUGACAGUGACUCAGUUCACAGUGCAGCAGAAGAUCACAGUGUUCUUUGCAAAGUGCUAAUUAGGGGAACUUGAGCAG